GUCAUCGUGAUCCUGCACGCGUGUUUGCAAUGAGCAUACCUGAGCGGAAAGCUGAUCUGUCUGAGUAUGGAUGCUACUAACUUCCUGGUGAGCGGGUGUGAACAUCUUUGAGCAUUUGGAAAAUGACCCUCAUCUGUUCCGCGGGAUCUGCGGGUAAGGAUGCUAUGUCACCGAGCGUGUCCGAACGCUUGGUAGGGGGCCCGGGGUUGCUCUCAACAUCGCCAGCGCGUAGAAGCAAAAAAGGUAUGAAAAAACAUUCACAAAACACUUCACACAACACCCGUGGACACGGGACCAGUAUUAAGCAGAGGUUGUUAUUUUUCUUUGCAUAUAAAGAAACGUUUGCACACACCUGCAUUGCAAAAGGGAAGCGAUUCAGUGCUUGUACAGAAGCACCGAUCCCGUGUCCACUGAAUUGGUUU
rnacentral:lncRNA from 1 species